GAAAAUUUAGUUAAUUAAUAACAUUAGUAUGUCAAACUAAAAUAAUCAACUUUGAUAUUUUUCU
rnacentral:tRNA from 1 species